AAAAGCAGUCGAUUUCAAGUAGAAGAAGUAAGCACCUGCUUGUUCUCAAAGAUGCUUCUGGUUUUUAAUCAGCUCAGAAGUCUGGAAAACCCUUGUAAGCAAGAAAACAAGCUAUUUCAUCUGGCUUCGGUUUCCAUUUCACCGCCAAGAAGGAUUGAUGGCUUGCGAGUCUGACCUGUCACUCAUGGAAAUUAGCUUGCUUUAUUCAGUUACCCAGGGAACGUUUGGGUUUAUGGACUCCUCUACUGUUAUGAAUUAUACAUGGCCUUUUUUUUCUUCUAUUGUAGAUGGAUCUAUAGUUAAGUAUGCAAUGUUCGAGAGCUUUUAUGGGUCAUAGAAAGCCUGUCAUGAUAGGACUGCAACUAUACUAAAUACUCAACUUUCACUCAUAUACAAAUAAGCAAUCGAAAAUAAGGAUGGGGAAGAUGGUGGAAGAGUAAGGUCCCCAAGUCACCUGUCCCCUCCAAAUUACCUAGAUAACCUUCAAAUCAUCCUGAAAAUUUAUGAAUCCGGCCUGAGAUUUAAAGAGAGAACAGCUGGAAUGCUACAGUGAGAAAAGUUCACGCUUCUAUCAAGUUUACAAGAACAGUUGUUGCCUCAGGAAGACUACACCCUGGAACAUCCUCACUCAGAAAACAAUCACAGGAUGUAGAAGCCACCAGAAGGCAGGGAAGCUCUUACAAUAUGUUGAGGAGAAGGUUGUUCUUCAAGCAAGUGUGUCCCAAGGACCUUCUCAGCAACACUAGGAGAUAAUAAAACAUUCAGGUAAAACUACCAGUGCUGCCAAGAUGAGCUCUAUAACCAAGGGGACUUCCAAGUGCCUCAGGAAUCCUCAGUACCCAAUGGCAUUAAGUGUCCUGCCUGCUACAACGUGUAUGAUGUUUCCUGCGACCCAGUUCUUCUUGCCUGCACUGGUACAGAGACAAAGCGUGUGGAAGUUAUUGGCAUAGGUACAACUAUUUCCACAGGAUUCUUGGUGUUCAUUUUCUCAAAGGAUAUAUCUGUGCUAGUUAUCUUUGCUGUGUAAUCAUUACUCCAAAACUUGGCAGUUUAAAACAAUGAGCAUUUAUUAUUUCAUGGCAUCUGAGGGUCAGGAGUUUGGAAGUGGCCUAGCUAAGUGCUUCUGGCUGAGUUUCUCAUGAAGUUGUAAUCUAGCUGUCAGCAGGGCCUGUCACCAGGAAGACCUGCUUCCAAGAUCACCCAUGUAGUUGUCAGGCUUGGUUCUUCUCUACAUGGGUCUCUGUGUGGGCUGCCUGGAUGUCCUUAUAAUGUAUUCCCCCACAGCAAGUGAUGAGAGAGAGAGAGAGAGAGAGAUAGAGAGAAGAGAAGAGAAGAGAGAAGAGAGAUAAGAGAGAUGGAGGGAGGGAGGAAGAGCACUAACUGGCAUUUCUCAGGGCAAAUGAUGACAGAGGGAGAAGAGGAGGAGAAGAGGGAGGGAGGAAGGAGAUACUACAGUUUCAAAGUAAUCAAAUAUCAGAAGGAACAUUUCUUCACUUCUGUUGUAUCCUGUUGGUUGCACAGAUCAACUCUGAUACAACAUGGGAGAAGAGUAUACAAGGACAUGAAUACUAAGAGAUCGCAGGCCAUCCUAGAGACUAACUACUAUGUACAGCAAAGGCUGAUACAGGGCCAAGUCCUAGUUCACUCUCCAAAGUUUGGAGGGAGCCAUCUGUCAGAAGAGAGAAGGGGGAGAGGAGAGGACGAGGAGAGGAGAGGGAAGAUGAAGAGAACACAACUGCUUUCCACAGGAAAGUCUGA